CCCAAUGACUCAGCGGUAGAGAAUCUGCCUGCAAUGCAGGAGACACAGGUUUGAUCCCUGGGUUGGGA
rnacentral:tRNA from 1 species